rnacentral:tRNA from 2 species
GCCGAGGUGGUGGAACUGGUAGACACGCUGUCUUGAGGGGGCAGUGAGCUAACGCUUGUGCGGGUUCGAAUCCCGCUCUCGGCA